GACGAACGCUGGCGGCGUGCUUAACACAUGCAAGUCGAGCGGUAAGGCCCUUUCGGGGGUACACGAGCGGCGAACGGAUGAGUAACACGUGGGUGACCUGCCCUCAGCUCUGGGAUAAGCCUGGGAAACCGGGUCUAAUACUGGAUAUGACUCCAUGACGCAUGUUGUGGGGUGGAAAGCCUUGUGCGGCUGAGGAUGGGCCCGCGGCCUAUCAGCUUGUUGGUGGGGNGAUGGCCUACCAAGGCGACGACGGGUAGCCGGCCUGAGAGGGCGACCGGCCACACUGGGACUGAGACACGGCCCAGACUCCUACGGGAGGCAGCAGUGGGGAAUCUUGCGCAAUGGGCGAAAGCCUGACGCAGCGACGCCGCGUGAGGGAUGACGGCCUGGUGUAAC
rnacentral:rRNA from 1 species